UCCUAUUUAGUAGGCGGUCUGGCUAGAUAAGGCAACUAGCCACGAGGGUUGCGCUCGUUGCGGGACUUAACCCAACAUCUCACGACACGAGCUGACGACAGCCAUGCAACAUCUGUGACCUCGCUCCGAAGAGGGCGCCUGUUUCCAGGCGUUACGAGGCCAUGUCAAGCCCAGGUAAGGUUCUUCGCGUUGCAUCGAAUUAAACCACACGCUCCGCUGCUUGUGCGGGGCCCCGUCAAUUCCUUUGAGUUUUAACCUUGCGGCCGUACUCCCCAGGCGGAGCACUUAAUGUGUUAACGUCGGCACGGAGGGGCUCGAUACCCCCCACACCUAGUGCUCAUCGUUUACUGCCAGGACUAC
rnacentral:misc_RNA from 1 species